CCUACGGGUGGCAGCAGUGAGGAAUAUUGGUCAAUGGACGCAAGUCUGAACCAGCCAUGCAGCGUGAAGGAUGACUGCCCUAUGGGUUGUAAACUUCUUUUAUAUGGGAAUAAAAUGUUCCACGUGUAGGAUUUUGUAUGUAUCAUAUGAAUAAGGAUCGGCUAACUCCGUGCCAGCAGCCGCGGUAAUACGGAGGAUCCGAGCGUUAUCCGGAUUUAUUGGGUUUAAAGGGUGCGUAGGCGGUUUGAUAAGUUAGUUGUGAAAGUUUGCGGCUCAACCGUGGAAUUGCAGUUGAGACUGGCAGGCUAGAGUACAGUUGAGGUGGGCGGAAUUCGUGGUGUAGCGGUGAAAUGCUUAGAUAGCACGAAGAACUCCGAUUGCGAAGGCAGUUCACUGAACUGCAACUGACAUUGAGGCUCGAAAGUGUGGGUAGCAAACAGGAUUAGAUACCCCAGUAGUC
rnacentral:rRNA from 1 species